ensembl:lncRNA
CUCCUCCAACCCCGGCAGUACCGGCCCCGAGACUCUCAGCCGGCUACUCCGGAGGUGUUCCUUGUUCACCAGCAGCCGCCGCCGACCGCGGCGGUGUUCUCUGUCCCCGCGCCGCCGACUACUGCGGAGGUGUUCCGUGUCCCCGAGCCGCCGCCGACUACUGCGGAGGUGUUCGGUAUGCCCCUGUUCUUCCAAGAGUUCUAAAAAGUAGGAUGGGAGAUCAAGCUCCUCUUUUGUGGAACCAGCUUCCACUUUCAGAUUCGGUCAGCUCUUUUAAGAUAGAGCUCAUAACUUUCCUCUUUGAUAUUGCUCAUAGUAGGGCUGGCUCAGGUUAGCCCGGACCAGCCCUAGUUAAGCUGCGAUUGUCACCACUGGACAAUGGCCCUGAACCCAAAUGCACGACUCCUCAGGCGAUGUUCAAAAAAAUCAAAGUUUAUUAACAAAAAGAAAAUGCUGCUGAAAUGAAAAUAACUCUUGGUCGAGGAAAAAAACUUAUACUAAAUCUAAGAACAAAAAAGAUUACAACUAGAAAAUAGUUCUUUGACUUAGGACAAGACCAACCAACCAACAUAUACACACAGGGUAAGGGCACAGGUGGGAACACGUGUUUGUGCUUUCUCGCAGGUCUCCGUAGAUCGUAGUUCCGUCAGGGCCUUGGUCCUGACUCCUGCCUGGUCCCGUGGACACCUACUGCAUACCAUUGAUAUUCCCAUUUAUAUUGCUGUAAACAUCAAUGUGCAUAACUAACUUGUUUCUUCCACGGAGAAUUUGUGUUUUCUCGCCUCACACGUUCCCAUGGAUCAUGGUUCAAUAUGGACCCUGUUCCUGCCUCCUACCAUGGCCCUGCUGACACCUGUUGCUGGUAUCAUCACAGUUAUUAUUAUUAUAAUUAUGUAUCACAUUGCUAUUAAUUUCAUCAUAAACCAACAUUACCCUUUCCUAAAGUCUGUGCUUUCCCUCCCCACAGGCUUCUGUGGAUAGUGGUUCUAUCUGACGGUGGUUGUCCCUGCAGUGGUCCUGCUGUACUUUGAAUAAUUUCUGUUAUAGGAAUUGAAUUGUACAUCUUUUACAUUGUUCAUUCUGUACACAUGACAUCCAUAGUAGUCUGUCCAUCCCGGGACAGGGAUCCCUCCCUCCUGACGUUCUCCCUAAGGUUUCUUCCCUUUUUUUUCCCAUGGAAGGGUUUCCUCAGUUCUUCCUGUGCCAAUGUGAGGGUUUCUGGACAGAGGAUGUCGCAUGUGUACAGACUGUAAAGCCCUCUAAGGCCAAUUACAAAUUAGCGAUUUUGGGCUAUCCAAAAUAAAAUCAAUUGAUUUGAAUUUUCCCUAAACUUAAAUGAGUGGUUAGGUUGCCUGAAAUCAACCCAAACGAAAUGUUUUCUUAAAGCAUGUAAUGACCCAUAAGGGUUAAUAACGAAGCAUUGCUGAAAUGUGACACAACAUUAAGAUUGCUACAUUAUCCAGAGACAGUCUUCUCUCUGAUAGUCUUGUUUUCCUAUAUAGAUCAUACAGAGGCAUCAGUUCUAAACUGUGACCGUUAUAUAACCAGUUAAAAGUUCCUGAUAGCAAUGGCAACAUGUAAUACAUUAUAACACGAUCUUUAUAAAGAAAAUGAAUAUUGUAGCAUAAAAUGCAUUUUAGGGCGUUGGGAUCAGCUGGACAAGAUGUAAACACUCAUUGCUACUCCCCUGAAGAAGGGUCUUUAAGAAACAGAAGGUAGGAAGGCGAGGGAGGAGGCAUGGGAAGUAAAGAGAGCGCGCAAGGGAAGGGCGGGGAAGUUCGAUGCAGAUGGGGGAAUGAAACAAUGGGGGGAUCUGUGACAUGACGGAAUUCCCCUACAUUCCCCUGUUUCGCCCAAGACCGGCAGUGACAGCGGCGUGAUUGCACGCACAUACACACACACACACACACACACAGCCUGCCUGGCAUGUGCAACAAUAAAGAACCAUGUGAGUAAAGUAUGUUUGCAUCUGCAAACAAGAGGGUUUAUUGUGAGUUAAUGCUGGUAUGAAAUCAAAUCUCCUGCAAAAAAAAGCAUAAAAGCAGCGUGACGUUUUUCCUUUUUUUACUGGAUUAAAGACGCUGAUGAGGCGAUGUGACGAGGGACUACAUUUAGGAGCACAUCAUGUAACUAGUUGCGCAGUGCAGACCCGCCCGACCUUACACAACAGCCACAAAUAUUUCCACACGCACAAACUCAGGCAUAUUUUCGGCCACACUACUCCCACUUCAGUAAUGGGGUCACAGAGAGCUCUGCUGCUCUCUUUUGUCGGUUGGCCUUCAGGGCCGAUGGACUCCCUUCCUUUUUACAUGUCCUCAGGAGUCGUUGUUAGCCCGCAUAGCUGCAGGGCUGGUUUAUUAAGGUGGGCACACGGGACAGCUGAGGUAGUAGGUAGCCCCCGGGGCUCAAAUCUAUGGCAAGAUGGCAUGAAAAUAUCUGGCAUAAUGACAGGUGGAAAUAUAGUAAUACUAUUCUUUUAUGAAAAUAAAAUAUAAGAAAUGCUUUGAAGCGAGGACGUUGUGAGGCAGCAUGUCUUAGUUUGCUGCUACAGUGUCUCACUGUCAUGGAUGCGUGGUAGGCAGGACUCAAAUGCAGAGUUCAAAAGCAAAAACGACUUUAAUAGUCAAAAAGGAAACUAAGCAAAGGCCAACGGGCAAAAAGGCACACAGGAACCGAGCACAUACAGGACGAUAGACAAAGACGCGACAAGUGACACAAGAGACACACGGCUUAAAUACACUAGGGAGCUGCAGGUGAUUGGACACAGGUGGAAACAAUCAGACAAUCACAGACGAUGACAGGACAAGACAGGAAGUGAAGUUACCCAGGGAGACAAGAAGCAGAAAACUACAAAAUAAGACAGGAAAUAAACCCACACCGUGACACUCACGUCCACCGAGAAGUCAACGUUGAUUUAUUUAUUACAAUAGGGCACUUUGUGCUUUUUUCCUAAACCUAACAAAGUAGUUUUGCUGCCUUCACUCAACUAAGUGUAACUCAUAACUUUUAGUAAAAGCAAAACAUUUACACGUGUCGCUGACCUUUCAUAAGAAACGAGUAGCUUUUAAAAAGAUGUCGUACUUAGCAUUGUAUUCGGAUAUGUUGACUCCAUUGACGUAUGAACCGAGACGGUUAAACACACACUGCUCAACGGGUCAAAAAUCCUCCCCGUAUGCUGGAGAGCGCACAGUGCUAACUUCCAUGUAGAAAUGUACAUGCAGUCAGUUACCUCAGCAGACACACGACAAACCCAUAAUGUUCUACCUAGAGAGCUGUACUGUCCCCACGCACGCAUACACAGACACACAUUCAGAAGUACAGAAUUACAGACAAGUCAAGGAAUCCUGCUGUAUUGUAUAAAAUCCCCUUUGUGUGUGUCUGUGUGUGUUUGCAUGGGCAUGCACUAUCCUAUCCUCGUCAUGUUUAAUUACUAAAUUCAACUUGAUCUGUUAUUGUACUCUCCUCACGCGAGGUGCCCACACACACACACACACACACACACACACACACACACACACACUGUUGUUAAAUAAAGAACAGAAGCUUGUUUCUAGGAUCACUCUUGAGAGCAUGCGUGUGUGUACAGAUGCAUCCUUUUUUUAUUCCUCCAGUUUGGUGCAUUCUGUACACGCAACGUGUACAUCCGCUACCUUAUCUGUAGCCGUUACCCUUUGCAGGGGUUGCAGAGUCCUUUGUUUUUUUGUCUCAUGCUUGCAGAACCACUUCGCCGUCGCUAAAAACUCUCAGCUCUCCGGAUCAAUUACGUAUGCAAGUUAACCAAUCAUGGCAGGAUUCUCAGAGUGGAGUAACCUGAGCAGAAAAUGAUGGUGCUCUCACUGUGUGUGUGUGUGUGUUGUUUUCAGAGCUACUCCCUGAUUGGUUGACACAGUCUUUUUUUUGUGCAUGUUCGUACAAGUGGCGCUUACGGCGGUCCGGAGCGCCAUCGUUGUUGCGGGACUGUGGCUGCCCGGCUCUCGGCUUCUGUCGCCAUUGUUCGCGCUGUUAGCGCUGUUAGCACCGUUGCAUUCAAGCUGCCGGCUUAGUUGUCAACAACAAUGUUCAUAAUCUUGUAUUUAAUAGCGUUAACGAAUAAUAUUUAGAACACAGAAUCUAACACCUAAAAAAAAGAUACUUAAUUAUAUGUUAAAAUUUAUUUCAACCUUUUAAAGAUGUCUUUGUUUUUAUGAAAGAAAAUUGGUGUACAACUAAUCACGCCAUAAAUUUUCGUAUUUUGCACAUUUUGUUGAAGAACAUGUAAAUGCUGUAAAUAAAGGAAAAUUGUUUUAUACUUUAUCACCUACGCUGUGUGUUUCCUAAUCAUUUCUUUUAUCUAUGAUCCAGUACUCACUAGCAAAAACAGCAAAAGCCCAAACUGAGGUAUAAAUCAGAAACAUUUCUGCACCAUGUCGCAUGAAGCCGUCCUUUACUUCUCCACGUUGCACUUUUGGCAUGUGGGGAUUUGCCUCUCACUGACCCGGAAUUAAUGACAACAAAGGGAUAUCCACCAGCAGGGCAGAACACUCUCUCUCACACACACGCACACACACACACACACACACACACACACACCAGAGGAGCAUCAUCCUGUGCUAUAUAUAAAUAAGGCACAACCCCAUGCACACAAAUGCACACCACUCUGCUGGCCAUACACAUGACACACAUUGCUAUUUGUAUAUACAUAAGUGUAUAUACACACAGACACACACAUGUAUAAAUAAAUAUAUACGUGUAUAUUUGAUGCCGCUAACACACACGUGCACAGAUAAACACACCAGCUUCCUGGCUGUAGCCCUCAUGUCACACGCGAUGCCGGGAACUCUGUGACCUGUUGUUCACAGCAGUACAGUCACAAUAACAGCUACUUUGGCAUUAAGAGACAAACGCCUGCAGGCGUGUGGAAGCUGGACAUGUGACCAGACCAGAGACAGUUUUGCGAUGGGAUCACAAAGGCCGCGGCGCCAAAACUGGAACGUGAGCUGAAAUUGGGGAGUUGGUGUGUAACAGAAGACCCUUUUCCUGUCCCCUACCCAUUUCCAGCGCCAUUGCUCUUAAACAUAUGCAGACUUGACCUUUGAACUAGCACCUGCUGUGAAGUGUUUGUCAACUCAAUAGUUUACAAAGAGAGAGGGAAAAAAACUAAAGCCUAUAUUUGUUCUUAAGAAAAUAGUUAGAUGAGGGAUAUUGAAAUAUCACAUGAUUUUCUCAUGUUUUUUGGGGUACAUUAAUUGUGGUAUUAAUCAAAAAUAAAAGAAAUUGUAAAUUUCAGGAAGAAUCCAUACAAUAAGUGUUGGAGUAUUCAGUAAGAAAAUAAUCGUCAGGGGAAGCCCUGUUUGCAUGGUGCUGCUGUAGUGGGGACACGUGCAGAGGGAAGCAGAGGUCAACGGCGUCACCUCUGUGUCUCCUCUGAUGGUCUGCCUCAUUUUUUCAGGGGCUUAACCGAAGAGACCCUGGGCGGGGUCAUACGCUGCAUCCAUGACCUCUGCCUGAUCACUGAGGCCUGGGAGGUUCAGCCACAGGGCCCACUGAGAAAGGGACAGCACACAAAUCUCCCCCCUUCAGGGCAGCCGAUCCUAAACCGAUUCUGUCCAGCCUCCAUAUUAUGAUAUAUGGGAGCAUUGAAGGCCCUUGACGGUACAACACAGACGCAUGCUUACAAAGGGAAGCACCGUCAAGACGACUUGGGUUCCAAUUCACGGGUCCCAAUUCACAAUUUAAAUUUCAAGUUACUUUACAUGAUAGGUGUCGCCCGUCCCCGCAAUCCUUUUAGUGGCAUUACGCCCUGAAAGUAUAGGAAGGCCUUUGCAGUCAUUCCAAGGUGGGUGGCAUCUACUACAUGUCUCAACGGCCGACUUUACAUGGCAUGUACUGUGCAGUAGGUCACACGUGUUCUGCGUGACCUGUAAAUGCUCCCUUUCCUUCCAACAUUGCAUGAUCAUUUAUGAUUUAUCAUGUGUGACGUCAACCAUAAACGCCUCCUUUCAUGCAAAGUGUGUGUGAACACUCUUUUACCCAUAGGCCCAUAGAAUGGAAAAGAGAAUGGAGCCUUCUCUCUUUACCAAUCUCUGUCUUUUUACCUCUAUUUUUACCUUUCUCCGUCUAUCCACCACUCUUUCUCUCCCUCACUCUUUCCUCGUAUCUACCCCUCCAUCCUGCCUCAGUCACUCCGUGUGAAUUAUCUCGUCUGUCAAUUCUAAUUUGCUCCUUCUUUAUUUCUCUCAUUAUCCCUCUGUUCCAGCAGUCUCCCCUUCCUCAUCUCGCUCUCUCCUUCUCGCUGCAAAGGCUAACCUACUUACAACACAGCUGUCUGAUGAAUAAUGGAGCAGAGACAGUUACUAUCAGCAUUUCCAUCAGCGGGAUCCCGCCUUUGAUCUCCGCUCCUUUCCCUUCUGCCUUUCCUCGCAACUCCCCGGUGUCUCCUUGCAUCCUUUCACUUCUUACAUUCUCUCCUCUGUUUAUGGUUCUAUGGACGGUUUGUUCUAAAUUUACAAAAUCCAUCUGUAAACAUUGUGGUUAGCCAUUUGGGGAAGAAUUGUAUUGCGAUAUUUAAAGGGCAACUUUAGUAUUUUGUAUUCCAGCAUUUCCCCGUGUUUUUGUGUCUAAUUGACUAAUGGAGACAAAAAUGUAUUUAAUUGGUGCAGUAUUGCGUGAGAUCAUUGUAAGUGGAGCCGCUGCGAGGGCAAUUGUUGCAGCGAUGCACACUAAUGUCACGUCCAAGAGCGGUUGGUUUUGCUUUUGAGAUUUUUCCCUCGCCUUGCAGCAAUAACCUUUUAUUAUUAUGGCUUAAAUAGAGACUUAAUUGUUUUUUGCUAACCUCCUGUGUUUUUUACUUCUCUGCUUAUUGAAGCGAUAUAACGUGUUAGUACACAGGGGCUUCGCUGUUCAACACUUCUGACCACAUCCAUACGGUUAACAGUUCGCUGUUAAUUUACUCAUCAAACGCACAUUUACAGAUGUUUUUUCCGCUUGGGGCAGCAGAAGACACGUUUUUACACAACUGUGACAAAUCAUCGCUUUUAAAGUCGAUUUGCAAACAUUUUUAUGGACCAUCCGGAUGAUUCAUCGCAAGUAAGGUUUCUGGUGACAAAUGUACAACCAGUACCGACUCGCUUCCAGCGCCAACUACAAGCAACUGCUUACAGAUUGAGACAUGUUUUUCAGCAUAUAACAAUGUUAUUGCAAACAUAUAUAGUUGAGUGUGUGGAAACAUCAUUUUAUAUCCUGUCUUCACCUGCUUGGACUCACACAAGUUACGUCAGCAUUGGCCAUUUAGUAAUCAUGUGAGUUGCUACAUGUUAUUUUCCUGAACCUAAACUCCUGUGAAGAUGGAAGUUUACAAAACGGACAGAAACCAAAAAUGUCCUAUAAAAAAAGAUGAACUACAUAGAGUUUUAAUGAAGACUGAAUAUUUGAAUGUAAAUGUACUAACUGCUAACUGUGAUACAAACCUGCAUCUCACAGGCUUUUGUGGGGCCAGCUGGUAGACGCUGGCUGGACUCCAUCCUCCAGAUCAUCCUGUUUACUCGACAGUCGCGUGGGUACAAAUCUUAUCUCAUCAAAUGUUUAUGUGACUCUUUCUCACACCUUCUCACUCCCCCCACGCCACAUGACCCAUCCAUCCAUCCUCUCGCUACUCUGCCCCCCACACACCCCAUCUUUCACACAUUUCCUGAACCUCUGCUUACUGAGCUGAAAGAAAAGUGCCGUCUGUAUCUUCAGUCGGUUAGUCUCUACUUUGGCCUGCCAGUCAACAAGUCUGUUUUGUAUCUUCCACCUAAACCACAGUGCGGAUUAGCGCGAAGAAAGCAAAAAAGUCCAGGCGGAAGACGAUUUGACGCGGGAGACGCAGUUAGAGUUGAGUAUUUGGGUGUGAGAGAGGCUUGGCAGUGUGUGUGUGUGGUCAAGGCGGUUUACACAAUGCCAUUCUAAAGGAUGAGUGGGGCUGUGGGUCAAUAAUAACAAAUGUGUUAUCUUUUCAAACCACACCACUUGCACGACUGGUAAAAAGAGUUGAGAACAAACCAAAAUUCAUGAAAUUAUAAAAGAAUAAGCCACGUGAAUAUUUUUGAGGGACAGCUGUGCACAUCUGCCUGCAUGCCCACACGCAGCGCGGCUGACGGCAGGCUGAUUCACCGACCCGUCACUCCACGUCCUAGUCCACAUUUUUUUGCCUCACGGUGAUAAACAUCACGUAUGAGAUCAGUGUUGUAAAGAUCUAUGUACAAAUAUGGCAGGUGUAAAGAGUGACUGGUCACUGUGCAACAAUUUUCCAGCUCAUAGUUCAUUUAUUCUAUAAUUUCCUUUAGACUGGGACCAGCUGGAAAUCUCUCAACACUUUCUCAUUGUGCUCCUUAACCUCAUAACCCUCAUUCCCAUCUUCAUCCUCAUCUUUCUCUUUGCUGCUACUGUUCCCCCCCCAAAACCCAUUUUCACCUCUCCCCUGCCUCCUUGGCCGCCAUACAUUUAAUGUCUUAUAUUGAUUAACAGACAGAAAUGAAUGGGAUGUGUUUCCCCUUUCCCCGCUCAUAUUUCAACCAGCAGCUAAUCAAUACACGGAGGCCUGACAGCAAGGACACCGGCUCACUUACAGCAAAGGAUUGAGCUGUGUGUGUGUGUGUGUGUGUGUGUGUGAGUGUGCACGUGAGUGGCACGGGGUUUACUAGACGUGUUAAAAUCGAUGACACAUGAACGAGCGCUAAUGGGACUCUUUAUGUACAAAAAAAACAAGCAAUAUUUUGAAUUUAAUUGUACCGCAUACAUAUGUUGGGCGGUCAUAUUUAAGGGUAAACAAAUAAUAAUACUAUUCAAAGUUUAUUUUCAGCCACAUACUCUUUUUUUGUAUAUUUGUAGUUUACUCUCCUAAAGAAUGUAUUUCUGAUCAAUUGUAGAGCUAUAUGCUGUAUCUAUAUGUAUAUAUGAAAUGCUUUAAAACAAUGAUGAUGCGUAGAGGAUUUACAGCAUGCAUCAGUUGAGGAAACAUACGCAAUCACAAGGUACAUAAUGGGCCUCAAUAUUACAUUACGUGUCAUUUAGCUGACGCUUUUAUCCAAAGCGACUUACAAUAAGUGCGUUCAACCAUAAGGAUACAAACUCAGUUUUAAGUUUUGCUCUCAGUGAGGGAGGGACGAGCAGUUUAUCAGGUGCAGAGCGGAGAGUGCGGGUCGGGAUGUCGGGUUGGACCACGUCCUGGAUGUAAGCUGGACCCGAUCCAUUCACAGCACGGUACGUGAGCACCCAGUCACCACCAGUAGCCAGUGAAGAGAGCGGAGGAGCGGAGUAGUGUGGGAGAAUUUAGGAAGGUUGAAGACCAGUCGAGCUGCUGCAUUCUGGAUGAGCUGCAGAGGUCGAAUGGCGGUGGCAGGGAGACCUGCAGGAGGGAGUUGCAGCAGUCCAGGUGUGAGAUGACAAGAGCCUGAAUCAGUACCUGCGCCGUAUUCUCCUGAUGUUGUAGAGCGUGUAUCUACAGGAUCGCGUUGUGAUGUUGGGAGUCAGGGAGACUUGGCUGUCACGUGUCACGCCGAGGUUCCUAGUGGUCAAAGUGGGCGUUAGCACGGAGUUGCCAAAGUUAACCGUCAAGUCCUGUGUAGAAGAAUCUUUUCCCAGAAAGAGAAGUAGUUCAGUCUCGUCUGGGUAUAUAUUAAUAAAUGUAAAAAU